AAGAAUUGUAAAAUUUAUUGUAUAAGUAUUGCAGCUUUUCAGAAUGUCAUCAUUGCCACUAAUGAUUACUGAUACACAACAAGCAGUUUCUUCAGGCCUGUGGAUUGGCAUCCAAAUACAGAGUCUUAUGCAGCGGGGCGUGGGUGCGCGCCCCGCGUGCCACAGAGUGCUUACAUAAGUUUAACUUGAACAGAGCUUGGGAAAUGGAGCUGCAAAGGAGAGCAGUUCCCACGCCAGGAACCAACGUGAAAGCAUUGGAAUCAGCACAACAGCCAUGGAAUCAGGCAGGCAGGGGAGGACGGGCUGUGUCCUUCUGAGCUCUAUAGUACAGCAAGAUUUCAAGCAGUUUCCAGAAAAAAACACAACAACAACAUUUUCUUUCCUUAUCAUCGGGAUAUUUCAUGGUUCUGGAAGCUUCGUGUUGCACAUAGGAAAAAAAAUUUCUCUGAAACGUACAAUUCAUAGGGACGACCAGUGAGGACAGGGCAUGAACCUGGCUCUCCCCCAGCCCUGAUUUUUGCUACAUAUGGGGUCCCUUUUCAUUCUUUGCAAAAACACUGGGCUUUUUGAGAACACGGAAGGUUCUUAGCACAAUUUGCGAAAUCGUCUGUGCAGAACCGGGCUUUGCAGGGGAGAUAAUUUUCCUCCUCUAGAGGAAAGGUGGUGAUUGACAGGCAGGGAGACAGUGACAAGGCUAGAGAAACAGUGACGAGGCUAGAGAAAGUCACCCUCGGCCUUCCCUGAACCAGGAUGGAAAGACAGAUCCCUGAAACCAAGCUGGUCCCCCUCCAACUAGCCACUUCCGAGAGCCCCAUCUAACUUCCUACUGGAAAAGAGGGCCUCCUCAGGGGCAGUCCAAGAGUCUUCAAAGAUAAUGUGACAACUACCAUCUAGAGGAAAGGGUGCACCCCCAGCAGAGAAGCGAAGAGCUUAACUCUGGUCGUUUCCAGAGACGACCUGCUGGCUGUCUUGGGAUGCGCCCAGCCUUUGAUAGGUCACCACCCCCAUGAACUUCUGCCGUCCGUUGGGCAUGAAGCCGGGGACAAUGGGCUUCAACACGGAGUUGUCACGAGAGGGACAGGCUCUGUCCUCAAGCCGGCUGAGGGCAGCAACCACUCUCCUCCCUUUUCUCAUGCAAAGCCAUUCCCACAAAUCCAGACCAUACCAUGAUGCAACGAGACCCAAACACUUUGGCUCAAGAGGAUAUGGGGACUGCCUCAGCCUGGCUUUGGGCUGACGCCAUGCACACACACAAGGUCCACUUCUAGGUUUUCAGCCUAGAUGGGAGUUGUGCACAAACCUUGGCAAAAAAGAUUGGAGGAGCAGGAGGGGUCACCUCACCAAGCUAGGCACCUCCUCAGUGGAGAGAGGGUAAGGACGCGCGAGGACGAUGGGGUGUCUGAAAAGCAGGAGCCCUUGGUGGACCCUGGGAGGGGAUACCAGUCCCAGGUGAGUGAGGCACUGGCCAGGAAUGUCCCCACCCUGCGACAGGAGUGUCACUGCUUCUUCAGUAAGGCACUAGAGACACGUCACAUAAAGGAAAGAUACGUUUCAAUAAUCUUUACAAAUGUGUCCUUGUACCUUUCAGGAUAACCUGUAUUGAUUUCUCUGCAGGACCUUUUCAAAGAAUCCUCUUCUAGAGAGAAACAAAUUUUAGGCUGACAACUUCACGGAGAGGCAGGUUCUGCUGUUGCCAACGAACGAGAACUUUCUACUAGGCUGGCGGCACGCAGAGCCCACGUCUGUCAGCUGCCACCUUCUUAAAGCACAUGUUUCACAUGCAUGCAGUUCAGGUGGCUAGAACUUCAAAACUGUGCUCAGGUUUUCGUUUUGGAAGUUAAAAAAGUUGUUCACAAACAAUAGUUAUUGCCUCUUAUAUCUUUCUUUUAUGUUAGUCUGCUAGUCAGCAUUCUGCCCAAAAAGGAAAGCCACUCCCAUGGGAAGGGAGGGGGUAGCAGCUGGGAGUCUGCUCUUCCAGCUGGGGGACCUCCCACCCCCAUGGGGAGGAAACACGUCGAGCUCCAGCCACUGGCCCCAGUGGGUCCCAAGGCCCCACCCUUCAUGCUCUCCUCUCGUCACCUCUAUUUAUGCUUGCGUGCCCCUUCCCCCCUUCACCUGCAUGUCACCAGCAGGUCCCGCCAACCCCAAACCUAUUUGGUGAAAAUCUGAAGAACAAGAGCAGAGCCUAAUAGAGAUGUAAAUGAAAACACAGAUCAACAGACACACCAGAAGUGAAGCGUUGUUUCUGAGGGGUAAGGAGAUGGAAAGGUGGGAAGAGAAAAGGUGAAUUCUGCACCCGCAGCUUGGGUUGGUGUUGACUCAACUGCUUUACUCACUUUAACCCUUUCACCUAUCCUGGAAGAAACCUGGGCUUGUCACCUUUUCAUGUUGGGUUAUCUGUUUAUUGGCCUCUCAAGUGAGAAUUGAUCCGUGAAGGGAAACAGACAGGAUGAGGUCAGAUUUCGAAUACCCUGGGCCUUCCUAGGGUCCAGUGCGGCAGUUACCGCACCUGCCUUCACCGGUGAACCUUGAGCCGGCUGAACCACCACCAAAGCGCCCUGCACAGACAGGACAUCGAGCCCUCUGGCUUGUCCCUGGCAGCCCGUGCACCAGCCACUGCGGCUUGUGAGGGGCACCAUGCUCCACCCCACGGGGACCUUCAUGGUUGGAAAAAAGAAGAGGAAAAACUAAUUCCUUCGGUAACAGUUUAUUUUCAUUUUUGGGAAAGGCAAAACCACUACGUGGAACUCCGUGCCUCCAUGGUUAACUUUCCUAUUUUGCUUGUGAUUUAAAGGCUGUUCUGGGCCAGAGGGGGAAAAAAUGUGUCUCCUUCGGUAGGGAAUGUAUAACGUGGUGAUAACCUGUCACUAGGCAGAAGCAGCAUCCACUCUGCAGGGACAGCGGCCCCUCGGAAAAGCCCGCCGCUCCCAGCCAAGGCCUCUCUGCAGACUCCACGGGGGGCUACCCUCUGCCGUCAGGCGACUCUGAAAUUCCGACAUUUCUCCCUUAAAGUCUCAACAGACACGAGAGAGGUUUCCAUCAAGCAAGCACUGACAUAUUUAUAUUAAAAAAUAGUGCAAAAUCUCAACAUUUAUAUAAAUAACUCUAAACCCCUGCUUUGUAAUUUUUUUCUUUACAAGGUAAUACACACUUUCUGACUUGGCACUCAAAAAUUGCCAUUUUUUUUCCUCUUCUAGUUCAGAAAACAACUUUUUUUUUUUAAUAGGCCUCUUCUAAUACAAAAAUACUCCUGCCCUCGCACAUACAGUUUCUCUUAUCUUAUAUAUAUUUAUAUAUAUAAUAUUGCAGAUCUUUAAACAAAGGUUUUGUGCAAAUAUGUCUUUAAAGUUAAGUGAAAUUAUCAUAAACAAAAGAAAAUAAGCAUUCACGCACGCAGCUCAACUAGAAACAAGAAAGACUACUGUAGAAACUUUUUUCUCUUUUGCCUUCAAGACACAGCUCAACAAAGAAACGUAUUUUUUUUUUCUUUUUCUUUUUGCAAGCUCUCUUAGCUUGUGCAUUCAGACCAGACAUCACAUGUAAAUAUUUAUACACAGGGAGGUGGGAGGGGAGGGGUACACGGCGCAUUGCUGUGCCCCUGCCUUCCUCUCACUCCUCUUCUAAGAAGCGCGGA
rnacentral:lncRNA from 1 species